UCAAAAUGUUUGCCUUUUUCUUUUAUUUUUCAUUCUUUUCUGUUCGUCAGUUUCCAUUGUAGGAUUUUAUGUUAUGUUAUUUGUGCUAUUUCAUUCCUUUAAACUGUUUCUGUAUGAAAUUCUCUUAAAGAUUCAUAAGUGUUUCAUUCUUGGAAUUUUUCCCACUGUUUCGGUUCUCUCCAACGGUAGCUAUAGGAUCUGUCUGCCCAAUUUGCCUGUUAUAUUCGGAUGAGCCGCAUGGUGAUUGUGUCGGCGGAUGAACGGACACCGAGUUUGACAUUAAAGUUGAUGAUAAUAUUGACGUUGACCCAGAGGGGUUGAUUGGACUUCUUGAACAUCGACGUCGCCAAGAUAGUGUUUAUAUUGGAUGCAUGAAGUCAGGAGAAGUGGUUUCUGAAGAGGGAAAGCUUUGGUAUGAACCUGAAGAGUGGAUAUUUGGGGAUGAGAAAUCGUAUUUCCGGCAUGCAUCUGGUUCACUUAUUAUACUCUCCAAAAAU